rnacentral:lncRNA from 1 species
CUAAGACUUACAGCAGUAACUAUUUCUGAUUUCUCUUCCAGGCAGCAGAAUGAGUUUGUGGUGCAUCACCUCCUCACCAACUCCAAAGUAAGAAUAAGACCAGUCUUAUCAUCUCUGAAGGCUCAAGAGGCUUUCUUUUGCUCGUUAUUGUGCGGGCCACAAGACAUAAGAAAGGGGUAACAACUGUCCGGCGUAAAUGAGAAAAAGCUGUAGUGACACUGAACCGCACAAGGCAAGAGCAAACCCACUUUCUCUGAAAGCGUGUCUCCACUAUGAUGCCUUGACCUUCAACAUGGCAGGUAUGAUUCCAAACCCAAGUCAAG